CAGUAGCCGCGGGAAUACAGAGGAUGCAAGCGUUAUCCGGAAUGAUUGGGCGUAAAGGGCUCGCAGGCGGUUUCUUAAGUCUGAUGUGAAAGCCCCCGGCUCAACCGGGGAGGGUCAUUGGAAACUGGGAAACUCGAGUGCAGAAGAGGAGAGUGGAAUUCCACGUGUAGCGGUGAAAUGCGUAGAGAUGUGGAGGAACACCAGUGGCGAAGGCGACUCUCUGGUCUGUAACUGUCGCUGAGGAGCGAAAGCGUGGGGAGCGAACAGGAUUAGAUACCCCUGUAGUCCCUGUCUCUUAUAC
rnacentral:rRNA from 1 species